rnacentral:misc_RNA from 1 species
AGAUAGUGUUGGAGAGUUGAUUACAGUUAGAGUCUCAACUCUUUCUCAAUAUCAUGACAUUUCCAUUGAAGCAACUUCAACUUUUGGGGAAUUGAAGAUGGUAUUGUCAUUGGUAAGUGGGUUGGAGCCAAGAGAGCAGAGGCUAUUGUUCAAAGGAAAAGAGAGAGAAGACAAUGAAUACUUACACAUGGUAGGUGUUAGGGACAAGGACAAGGUGUUCUUGUUAGAAGAUCCAGCAAUCAAGGAGAGGAAACUUCAU